rnacentral:rRNA from 1 species
UACGUAGGGCGCAAGCGUUGUCCGGAAUCAUUGGGCGUAAAGCGCGCGUAGGUGGCCUCAUAAGUCCGUUGUGAAAGUCAAAGGCUCAACCUUUGAAAGCCGAUGGAUACUGUGAGGCUAGAGUCCGGAAGAGGCGAGUGGAAUUCCUGGUGUAGCGGUGGAAUGCGCAGAUAUCAGGAGGAACACCAAUAGCGAAGGCAGCUCGCUGGGACGGUACUGACACUGAGGCGCGAAAGCGUGGGGAGCGAACAGG